GAGUUUGAUUCUGGCUCAGAUUGAACGCUGGCGGCAUGCUUUACACAUGCAAGUCGGACGGCAGCACAGAGAAGCUUGCUUCUUGGGUGGCGAGUGGCGAACGGGUGAGUAAUGCAUCGGAACGUACCGAGUAGUGGGGGAUAACUGUCCGAAAGGAUGGCUAAUACCGCAUACGCUUUGAGAAGGAAAGCAGGGGCUCUUCGGACCUUGCGCUAUUCGAGCGGCCGAUGUCUGAUUAGCUAGUUGGUGGGGUAAAGGCCUACCAAGGCGACGAUCAGUAGCGGGUCUGAGAGGAUGAUCCGCCACACUGGGACUGAGACACGGCCCAGACUCCUACGGGAGGCAGCAGUGGGGAAUUUUGGACAAUGGGCGCAAGCCUGAUCCAGCCAUGCCGCGUGUCUGAAGAAGGCCUUCGGGUUGUAAAGGACUUUUGUCAGGGAAGAAAAGGUUGUGGUUAAUACCCAUGACUGAUGA
rnacentral:rRNA from 1 species